rnacentral:tRNA from 1 species
GCCUGGGUGGCUCAGUCGGUUGAGCGGCUGACUUUGGCUCAGGUCAUGAUCUCGCGGUCCGUGAGUUCGAGCCCCGCGUCGGGCU